AUUGAACGCUGGCGGCAGGCCUAACACAUGCAAGUCGAACGGUAACAGGAAGAAGCUUGCUUCUUUGCUGACGAGUGGCGGACGGGUGAGUAAUGUCUGGGAAACUGCCUGAUGGAGGGGGAUAACUACUGGAAACGGUAGCUAAUACCGCAUAACGUCGCAAGACCAAAGAGGGGGACCUUCGGGCCUCUUGCCAUCGGAUGUGCCCAGAUGGGAUUAGCUAGUAGGUGGGGUAACGGCUCACCUAGGCGACGAUCCCUAGCUGGUCUGAGAGGAUGACCAGCCACACUGGAACUGAGACACGGUCCAGACUCCUACGGGAGGCAGCAGUGGGGAAUAUUGCACAAAGGGCGCAAGCCUGAUGCAGCCAUGCCGCGUGUAUGAAGAAGGCCUUCGGGUUUUAAAGUACUUUCAGCGGGGAGGAAGGGAGUAAAGUUAAUACCUUUGCUCAUUGACGGUACCCGCAGAAGAAGCACCGGCUAACUCCGUG
rnacentral:rRNA from 1 species